AACGAACGCUGGCGGCAGGCUUAACACAUGCAAGUCGAACGCAUCCUUCGGGGUGAGUGGCAGACGGGUGAGUAACGCGUGGGAACGUGCCCUUCAGUUCGGGAUAACCCAGGGGAACUUGGGCUAAUACCGGAUACGUGCGAGAGCAGAAAGAUUUAUCGCUGAAGGAUCGGCCCGCGUCGGAUUAGCUAGUUGGUGGGGUAAUGGCCCACCAAGGCGACGAUCAGUAGCGGGUCUGAGAGGAGGAUCAGCCACAUUGGGACUGAGACACGGCCCAAACUCCUACGGGAGGCAGCAGUGGGGAAUAUUGGACAAUGGGCGCAAGCCUGAUCCAGCCAUGCCGCGUGAGUGAUGAAGGCCUUAGGGUUGUAAAGCUCUUUCGUCCGGGACGAUAAUGACGGUACCGGAAGAAGAAGCCCCGGCUAACUUCGUGCCAGCCGCCGCAGUAA
rnacentral:rRNA from 1 species